GUGAAUCAUCGAAUUUUUGAACGCAAAUUGCACUCCCUUCGGAGCGUAUGCCUGUUUGAGGGUCAGUAUCAAUAAAAAUCGGCGUGUUGCUUUUUUGUGCCGCCCCGGGGCUUGGGUCAUCUUAAUAUCUUUUAGGUUUUAAGAGGCUUAACAUUGAAUUUUUUUGCGCUUUUUAGAUGUACAUAAAUUCUUUUUUUAUUCGUCUGCCUUAAUGU
rnacentral:misc_RNA from 1 species